rnacentral:lncRNA from 1 species
ACUAUACAAGAAAGAGAACAUAUACAACUAUACUAGAAAGAGAACAUAUACAACUAUACUAGGAAGAGAACAUAUACAACGAUACUAGAACAAGUGACAUUACAUUACAUAUACAUGAAUACGUUAACAAUUGUGAUCCACUGUAUCGGAGCAUGCCUUAAAUGUUAUGGCCCGAGUUGUAGCCAGAAUUCUCUUGGAGGGAGAGCGUGAGUUUGCGUAUAGAUCUAUACUGGAUUGACUAUCCUACACCUUGCUGCUAGCUACAGCCGGACCUGCAGGUCUGCGGGUGCCAAACGUCAUUCCGUUAUUACGACCGUUCUUUAUGUCGUUGUUAUCAGUCGAUAGUAUGGUGCAAUUAUCACAUUAUACCUUAAUAUAAAUCCGGUUUAAGGUAGUAGUAAUUAGUACAACAGUAGUUCUUAUUAUACAAAACUACAGUACUACAAUGAUUUACCCAUUACAUAUUUUGGUGAUAAUCUCACUUAAGCAUUAAUGUACAAACUAUAUUUUAUCAAAUGAUAGUUAUACUUGGGUAAUCACACACUUUUACAACAGACGAGUUUACAAAACAGUUAAGCCUUGGUAGAAGGUUACUUUAAUAGAAAAUAUAGGAUUUUCUGAGAGAUUCAAACUUUUACAAACACUUUCAAACAUUUACUUACAUUUUUACAAACUUAUACAUUGAGACAGGUUCAAACGUUUUUACAAGAAACAUUGACACUAAAAUACUUAUGAACUCACCAGCUUAAUGCUGAUAAACUCUUUCAAAAUAACUUGUAUUCUCAGGUCAUCAGUAGACAGGUACCGAUGCCAGCUUUUGAGAUGAUGGAGCGUACUCAAGACUCAUCAUUUUAUUAUUUUGAUUUACGUUAUAUUUUUGGUGUCUAAAACUGUACAGAACACGCAUGUAUUAAAUUUAUAUAUUUAAUGCAAUGGAUGAUGUUGUUUGCCUAUUUACAUUUACUGUGUUGUGAUUACCUUACAUGACGUCCUCCGCCCCAGAACGUUUCCGCCGUUCUUGGUUUUGGGGUGUGACAGAUUGGUAUCAGAGCAUUGUUUAUAGUGAAUUGAGUAUAUCAACCCAUAAAAGAUAUACUAAACUAUAAACCCAUUAGGGAUUAAACUCUGACCAAGAGUCUAUACUUUAAAUAAUAAAAUAUUUAACUAAGUAUACUAGUCUGCAUUCAUACUAAAAUAAGUGUCACAAUGACAAGAACAAAAGUAUUACGAUUGUUAAAUAUCACAAGUGAGCUCGGGGAUGUAUGGUCAGUCCUGGGAAUGGCAUAGCCUGAUCAACUAUGCUGAUCCUAGGAGUGAUUAGCACAUGCCUUAGAAUGGUUGUGAUAGGUUAACAAGUCUAAAAACUUACCAACAAUACCACAUGAAGAUCAGUAGAACCUAAACUUAAAAUAUUAUAGGUUUAUUUUGUACUACUAGCUACAUAUAUACUAUAUUCUUAUACCUCUCUUCUCGCGUAGAUUUAAAUGGCUGGAUUCCAUCACUGCGACCUGUACUUUCUAAAUGAAGGCAAUGCCAGGUGGAUCGAAGAAGAGCCCGAAGAUGAACAUCCAAUCUGACUCCGAGCCUGAAGUCAACAACCUACCGCUAGUAGGUCAAGCCCCGAACAACAACCCCCGACCAACUUUUCUAGGUCCUACACCCUUGUGAGCAACCAACCUGAAUCGCUGGAGUGACGAACAGGGUCAACCCUUACCUUACUUUGGGGACCGAAGCUUUUACAAUGUCAGCAAAGGUGGUUCUGCUAACCGAGCUCUGCCCGUUAUUAUCUACAGAAUAGCUCGUAAUGUUGAGCCAGGUCGAGCAGCCAUCGACCAGGUCAUGGAUAUUGAUGCCAACUCUGGUGUCAACACAGUCCACAUCCGCAGUCUUGAAGAAGACAUGGAACGGACCCGGAGAAUCAAUGAAACCCUGCAGCAACAGCUGGUUGCCUCCCGAGCUGAAGUCUUGGAACUUUGAGCCCGUCAGAGGGCUCAGGAGCGACACCUUCAGGAGGUGUUUCGUCAAGUUGCAGACCUUAGGGUUCGCCUGAGGAUUUCCCAUCGCCAUUAGAAGAUGUCUUGUACAUCUUUGUCUUUUGGUUAAGGAAUAGCCUUUAACAUCUGUGCUCUAAGUAGCACUUGUUUGUAAAAUAUUCCUAACUUUCAGUACUAUAAUUAGGAAUCUGAGAACUGUCAAACUUUUCCGUAUGGUAUGAUGUAAGACCUACUGUUAGGUCGAUAUUCCCUGAACCUAUUACAUCGAUAAUACCAGUAUUAUUGACGUCUAUCUAAUCUGUGGGAAAAAUCGGUACACUUGUGUUUUCCUACUAAUAUUCUUUGCUGUGAUCUCAAACACUCAUUCAACUAUUGGGCUAUGGUUAGUUAGUCCAUGUGUCACUCUCAAUCUACUUACAAAUUGAUUCUUACCACUUUGCUUAUCUUUAUAAACUUAUAGCUGAAAGAUGCCUCCUCGCAAAUCUCCCCGAAAUAACCCUGCACCUCCACCACCUUCUCCGCCUCCGGUCAUCGAUACUGCAGCCCUGAAUGCUGCCGUAGCCGCAGCAGUGGCAUCUGCCAUGGCUCAGUAUCAAUCUUCUAAUGCCAGCAGUGGUGGAACCCCUGUUGAAUCAAUUCCGCUUGAAACCCCUGUGCACUCGAGAGAGUGCUCCUACAAGGAUUUCACCAACUGCAAGCCGAAGUCCUUCCAUGGCACCGGCGGAGUCAUUUCCCUCUCACAAUGGUUCAAGAAGACUAAAUCAGUCUUCGAAAUCUGUUCAUGCCCUGCUGCGAGCAAAGUCAAAUACGUCGCAUGCACCUUUGAAGGAAAGGCCCUGACGUGGUGGAACAGCCACGUUAAAGCUCUAACCCUCGUCGUAGCCAACGACAUGGGCUGGGAAACGAUGAAAGACCUCAUGACUGAGGAAUACUGCCCAAGGGGCGAAAUCCAGAAAUUGGAGCAAGAGCUUUGGAGCCUGACCAUGAAGGGCACCAACGUGGUCGCUUAUACCACCAGAUUCAUCGAACUGGUGGCCCUCUGCCCCAAUAUGGUUCCCAUUGAAGGAAUAAAGAUCGAAAGGUACAUAUGGGGGCUAGUGCCUCCGUAUCAGGGGAAUGUCCUAUCAUCAAACCCCGCUACUUUCGACACUGCCAAGCGACUGGCACAACGACUCAUUGACCAUGGAGUCAAAACCCCUGCAACAACAACCACCCUAUCCAUCCCGGAACCCUCCAAACCCGCUGACACUAAGCGGAAAUUCUGGGAAGAUAAGAAGAAACAGCGUGCUGCCAAAAAGCAGCAAGUUGUGGCUGUGCAUGCCGCGAUAACCCCUGCUGCUGCUACUGCUCCGGUGAGGCAGUAUGCUAGAAGUUUGCCUAAGUGCAACAAAUGCAACUUCCACCACAACGGCCCCUGCCGUGAAAUGCAGUGCUCUAACUGCAACAGGAAAGGACACACAGUCCGUUUCUAUAAAUCUCCGGCAUAGCCGAUCGCCCAAGUCCCCGGCUCUGGCACGAGCCCGACCUGCUAUGGAUGUGGUGAAGCAGGCCACUACAAGAGGGACUGCCCCAAAGCGAAGAAUACUGGCGGAGCAGGGAGGGUACUGGCAAUAGGCCAUGAGGAAGCAGUUGCUGACCCGACGGUGGUAACUGGUACGUUCCUCCUCGAUAACUCCUAUGCAUGCAUUCUGUCCGAUAGUGGAGCGGAGCGAAGCUUCGUGAACCAUAAAUUUGCUCGCAUGCUUAAGCAACAACCACACACACUUAAGGAACAAUUCACAGUAGAAAUGGCAAAUGGAAAAACUGAAAGUACGAAUAGCAUAUACUUAGGUUGUACCCUAACUCUAGAUAACCAUUCAUUCCCAAUCGACCUUAUGCCGGUCUCAAUAAAAAGCUUCGACGUUAUCAUUGGCAUGGAUUAGUUAAGUCUUCAUCGCGCCGACAUCAUGUGCUANGCAGUCCGUCUAAACCUUCCGUCUAACGAAACUCUUAUCGUCUACGGUGACAAACCCGGUGCGAGUCUUCAUAUUAUAUCAAGUAUUCAAGCAUAUAAGUAUCUGCGUAAAGAAUACCGUGCAUUCCUUGCUCACGUCGUUGAUACGAGCCUCGAGACGAAAGAACUAAAGAAAAUUCCAGUAGUAAGCGACUUCCCCGACAUCUUCCCAAAAGAGCUACCAGGAUUACCUCCUCAAUGACAGGUCGAGUUCAGAAUCGACUUAGUCCCAGGAGCUACCCUAGUAGCCAAGUCGCCCUACCGAUUAGCACCAGCAGAGAUGCAGGAACUAUCUGGUCAACUUAACGAACUGCUCAGCAAGGGCUUUAUAAGACUAAGUUUCUCACCUUGGGGAGCACCGGUCUUGUUCGUUAAAAAGAAAGACGGAUCAUUCCGUAUGUGUAUUGACUACAGAGAACUCAACAAACUGACGGUCAAGAAUCGUUACCCUCUGCCUCGCAUAGACGAUCUAUUUGACCAACUGCAAGGGGCGAACUACUUUUCCAAAAUUGAUCUGAGAUCCGGAUAUCACCAGUUACGAGUACUAGAGGAGGAUGUGCCUAAGUCAGCCUUCCGAACUUGUUCCGGACACUACGAUUUCAUGGUGAUGCCAUUCGGAUUGACCAAUGCGCCUGCAGUCUUCAUGGAUCUGAUGAAUAGAGUAUGCCGGCCUUACUUGGAUCAGUUUGUCAUUGUAUUCAUUGAUGACAUCCUGAUCUACUCCCGAAAUAUGGAAGAGCAUGGCGAUCAUCUGCGACAAGUUCUAGGAACUUUACGAGCGGAGAAGCUCUAUGCGAAGUUCUCUAAGUGUUAGUUUUGGAUCCGAAGAGUCGAAUUCUUAGGACAUGUGGUAAGUGAAGAGGGAAUCCACGUGGACCCAUCCAAAAUUAAGGCCAUUGAGAACUGGUCAGCACCGAAGACGCCUACAUAAAUUAGACAGUUUCUAGGUCUCGCUGGCUACUACCGCAGGUUCAUACAGAACUUUUCCCAAAUUGCGAAACCUCUUACAAUACUGACCCAGAAAGGCAUGGCCUUCGACUGGGAAGAGAAACAGGAGAGAGCGUUCCAAACACUCAAGCGAGCCUUAUGCACUGCACCAAUACUAUCCCUUCCCGAAGGAAUAGAAAACUUCGUAGUCUAUUGCGAUGCAUCGAAUCAAGGGCUCGGGUGUGUUCUGAUGCAGCGAGGUAAGGUCAUCGCCUAUGCCUCGAGACAGUUGAAGACACACGAAGUUAACUACACGACCCACAAUCUUGAACUAGGAGCAGUGGUGUUUGCUCUGAAGAUUUGGAGACAUUACUUGUACGGAACGAAAAGCCCUAUUUUUACCGACCACAAGAGUUUACAACACAUAUUCGAUCAAAAGGAGCUCAACAUGAGACAACGAAGGUGGGUCGAGCUACUCAGUGACUACGAAUGCGAUAUUCGUUAUCAUCCGGGUAAAGCCAACGUAGUAGCAGACGCCCUAAGUCGGAAGGAAUAUUCUGGUCGCAGGGUCAUGUCAUUGUCAAUAACCAUCCAUUCACACUUGUCUAAGCAAAUACAGGCAGCCCAACUUGAAACCAUGAAACCUAAAAAUGUGACGAGUGAAUCCCUUAUAGGAAUGGAUAAGAAUUUAGAAGCCAAGGGUAGCGGAGCCUUAUAUUUCAUGAACCGGAUCUGGACACCAAAAAACGGUGGUUUCCGAGACUUGGUCAUGACCGAGGCGCAAAACACUCGGUAUUCCAUCCACCCAGGUUCAGAUAAGAUGUAUCUGGAUCUUAAAAAGCUAUACUGGUGGCCUAAUAUGAAAGCAGAGAUUGCUACCGUCGUACGUAAAUGCCUUACUUGCGCAAAGGUUAAGGUCGAGUACCAGAAGCCCUCCGGUUUACAGCAACAACCAGAGAUUCCAGAAUGGAAGUUGGAGCGGAUCACUAUGGAUUUCAUAACCAAGUUGCCCAAGACAACGGGUGGACUUCAUACCAUAUGGGUCAUCGUCGAUAGAUUGACCAAGUCUGCACACUUCGCGGCUAUCAAAGAAACUGACAAGAUGUAGAAACUUACAAGAACAUACAUUAGGGAAAUCAUACGGCUACAUGGUUUACCUAUUUCCAUUGUCUCCGAUAGAGAUAGUAGGUUCACCUCAAGAUUCUGGCAAUCACUACAGCAUUCCCUAGGAACAAGGCUGGACAUGAGCACAGCCUACCAUCCACAGACCGACGGACAAAGUGAGAGGACCAUCCAAACACUGGAAGAUAUGUUGAGAGCCUGCGUGAUUGACUUUGGAAAGGCAUGGGAUACUCAUUUACCACUUUUUGAGUUUUCCUAUAAUAACAGUUAUCACACGAGCAUCAAGGCUGCUCCAUUUGAAGUCCUCUACGGCCAAAAGUGCAGAUCCCCUCUGUGCUGGGUUGAGGUGGGUGAUACCCAAUUAGCUAGGGGGCAAGCUUCUGACAGUACUCUCACCGGUCUGGAGAUCAUUCGGGAAACGACAGAGAAAAUCGUUCUGAUCCGUGAACGAUUGAAAGCCUCUAGAGACCGACAGAAGAGCUACGCUGAUAAGCGAAGAAAACCUUUGGAAUUUCAGGUUGGAGACCGAGUCCUUCUCGAAGUCUCACCCUAGAAAGGCUUGAUAUGCUUCGGUAAGCGUGGGAAGCUUAAUCCGAGGUACAUAAGGCCUUUCGAGAUUCUCGCAAGAAUCGGCCCCGUAGCGUACAAACUCAACGUACCCGACGCACUUCGUAACGUACAUUCUACAUUCCACGUAUCUAACUUGAAAAAGUAUAUGUCCGACGAGACUCUUGUAAUCCCACUCAAUGAGAUCGAGAUCAACGAGUGCCUCAACUUCGUGGAAGAACCGGUAGAGAUCAUGGACAGCGAGGUCAAGCAGACGAAGCAAAGCCGUAUCUUGAUAGUGAAGGUUCGCUGGAACACCAAGCGAGGACCAUAAUUCACUUGGGAACGCGAGGAUCAUAUGAAACUAAAAUAUCCCCAUCUUUUUACUUAGUUGAUUAUAACUACUUAUUUGCUUAAAUUAUAAUUUCGAGACGAAAUUCCUUCUAAGGAGGGGAUGAUGUGACAACCUGAAAUUUCCAUUUUGUACGAACAUUAUCAAUUCAAUAGAAGCUUGACCAGUUACAUUGAAUUUCAGACUUUUCCGAAUAAGUUUGAGUAUAUUAGGGUUUACGUUUAAGGCGAUAUCAGGAGAGUAGAUGCACAUGGGUUAGUGAAACUCGAGUGUUUCAAAACUUUAUAAUAUUAGAGUGCAUUUCUGGAAUAAAAAUAUUUUCUGCCAAAAAUAUCUCAGGACUAUAAAUAGAUUUCUGAACCAAAUUCAUUCAUUAUUCACAUUUCCAACUAGAGAAAAGCCAUUUUCUCUCUCACGGAUCUUCGGGUUUUUAUCCCAAAUCGUGAGUACACUUCUCUAGUUGUCUUAUAAUGCUUAUUAUGUGUUUAAUAACUUAGUUUACAUAUCAAAUCUGUGAGAUUCGGGAGUUUACCGCCCAAGAACGUUCUUGGAGAGUAAACUCCAAUAUAAGGCUUAAAUGCUACCUAGCCUUUUCCCCUUGAUAAGUGACGGACUUAGGCUUAUUUGUAAGCGUAUUUAGGACUAGAAAACAAUGAAAAACACCAAGAUUAGGGUGUUCACGGCCCAAGAAGUUCUUGGACCGUGAACUCCAAAAUCAAGUGCCAAGGAGUGUUUAAAUCACUCCUAAAGCCUUGGACUUUAACCCCUAUUUAAUCCUAACUAGUUUGUGGACUUUAAAACAUCAAAGACACCUUACUAUGUGAGUUUACGGCCGUAUUAAUGUGGUUGGGCCGUGAACAUCAAUCAAGGGGACCAAAGUGUGCCUAGGACCUUCUUUAGCUUAAAACAAAUGCCUAGAAACUAUCCUACAUGUGCUUGGGACUUGAAAGAAUAAAAACAUCCAUCCCAUGAGAGUUUACAGCCGUAAACUCCACAGGAAUUGGCCUUGGGACUGUAAACUCCUCAAAGGAGUGUUUAUAUGCCCUAAACUACCCAAAGAACUAAACCACAAAGUAGAACUUAUUCUAGAAAUCAAGUAACACUUCAAAACACCAAAUGCCAUCAAGUUUGGGAGUUCACGGCCGUAAACUCAAGGGGUUUAUGACCGUAAACUCCUUAUGUGGAGUUUAUUGAAGAGUAAACACCUAUGCAAGGUCCUUGGAAACUUUAAACCCCUUGAGCCCUGUCCCACAACAACCCAGAAGCAACCCUUAGGAGUUAUAACACUUAUACAAAGUGUUUACAUGUUCUAGAGUGUCCCAAAUUAAUUCAUUAGUUAUUAUUUGGCUAAUUAGUUAUAUAUAUGCUCAUUAUAUGAUAACUAGGCUCGUGCGUGUGAACAAGUCUCCGUUUGCCACCUAGCACAGUAUCCGACACUUCAAUCCAAUCCACUCACCACAAGUGAGUUCAUACCCCUUUAAUUAACCUUUGAAAUACUUUUAAAUGUUUUAAAUACUUUAGGGGGGGAUACAAGUUAAAUGCUUAUAGUUAUUGCAUCAAUCACAUGUGAUUACAUUAAUCACAUGUGAUUAAUAACUAGAAAACCAAUGAUUUUAUCACUGUUCAAACUGUUUAUCAAACUGUUUUACUUCAAAAUGUUUUACAAACUCUUUUACUUAUCAAAUACUUUUAUUUAAACUUUGUUAUACUUCUUAUAAAUUGCAUGCCCAUAUAUGUAUAGAUAUAUAAGAAAUGUUUAAAGGGCUUAGGAAGGCCAUCUGCCUUAUUUCCUUUUUCUCGAUUUGGAUGUGGUCUGGUGGGAUUUCGGGUAGCCGUCCGAUGGCCGUUUCAAUAUUAAUUAUAUAUCAAGCGUACAUAUAUAGACAUAAAAGUACUCCCAUAUUCAUGCGUAUUAGUUACAUCAUUAGUAAGUUACCAUCGGGGUAACAUAGGAUCAUACUACUACAAUUGCUAGAUCAAUGAGUCAGUUCAUUCAUGAGUCAAUACUUAUUACUAGGAGAACAUAUACAACUAUACUAGAAAGAGAACAUAUAUAACUAUACUAGAAAGAGAACAUAUACAAGUAUACUAGGAAGAGAACAUAUACAACGAUACUAGAACAAGUAACAUUACAUUACAUAUACAUGAAUACGUUAACAAUUGUGAUCCACUGUAUCGGAGCAUGGCUUAAAUGUCAUGGACCGAGUUGUAGCCAGAAUUCUCUUGGAGGGAGAGCAUGAGUUUGCGUAUAGAUCUAUACUGGAUUGACUAUCCUUCACCUUGUUUCUAGCUACAGCCGGAUCUGCAGGUCUGCGGGUGCUAAACGUCAUUCCGUUUUAC